rnacentral:rRNA from 1 species
UACGGAGGGGGCGAGCGUUAUUCGGAAUUAUUGGGCGUAAAGGGCGCGUAGGCGGCUUGAUGUGUCAAAGGUGAAAUCCCUCGGCUCAACUGAGGAACUGCCUUUGAAACUGUCUGGCUUGAGGCCGGGAGAGGGUAGCGGAAUUCCCAGUGUAGCGGUGAAAUGCGUAGAUACUGGGAGGAACACCGGUGGCGAAGGCGGCAUCCUGGACCAAUACUGACGCUGAGGAGCGAAAGCCAGGGGAGCAAACGGG